rnacentral:lncRNA from 1 species
CACUGAGGGAGCAUACCAACAGGAGGGGGAAUGGCUGUUUGCAAGGGUGGAUGGUGACAGGACAAGGGGGAAUGGUCUUAAACGGAGACAGAGGAGGUUUAGGUUGGAUGUUAGGAGGAAGGUUUUCACCCAGAGGGUGGUGACGCACUGAACAGGUUGCCCAAGGAGGCUGUGGAUGCCCCAUCCCUGCAGGCAUUCAAGGCCAGGCUGGAUGUGGCUCUGGGCAGCCUGGGCUGCUGGUUGGCGACCCUGCACAUAGCAGGGGGUUGGAACUGAUGAGCAUUGGGGUCCUUUUCAACCCAGGCCAUUCUGUGAUUCUAUGAUUAUUCAAGGUGACUGGGAAGAUUUGGGCCUAGGUUUGCAAAUUUUCAUUCUUUUCACUGUGGCCUCAAGGAUGUGAUUCAGCUGCUGAAAUGUCUGGACCUAAACUGGCCACCUCAAGCUCUGCCAGAGAAAAGAGAGAGGAAGCAGCACUGCAAGGCAGGCCUCAUCUCAGACUGAGG